GGCAGGUUUUUGGUUUGCCCUCUCUCUCUCUCAAAACCAAGCUCUCUGAUCCUCUCUCCUCUCCUUUGUCCUCUCCUUCGUAAUAUUGGCUGAGGCUUUCAUAAUAAUAAGGAGAAAUUAAGGAAUUCAUAUGUCACCUCACAAAUGAUCAGUUUGAAGGGGGAAAGGCAAUCAGUGUUUGAGGAGGAGGGAGGCUUACUGGAGGACUAAUAAACUUGGACUGCGACAGAACGGAUGGAAUGCAGACAUCGAGUGUGACAUCAUAGUUGUCCACAAAUCUACUGGUUUCCCUAGUCACUUGGCCAUAUACUUUGGAACAGACAGGUGAAAGUGAGCUUCUGUAAUACUCGCUCACAUAGCGAGAGUAGUUACAGGCAGAAGUGAACAAUUUGUAUGUUGAAUCUGAUAUUAACCCAUGAGACCAGAAAAACUCAGCCCUUGAAUUGAAGUCCGUUGCGAAUUCAAGAACCGGAUUACCCAACUGCAGAUUAGAACAAGGCUCGAGAUUAAAUAAGCACUGCUUGAGAAAUAUUAUGUAAGUUUCUCAAGAUAUUGCAUAUGCAUACAAAAUACUUACAGCAACUCCUUUCAAAUUGAA